rnacentral:rRNA from 1 species
AUUGAACGCUGGCGGCGCGCCUAAUACAUGCAAGUCGAGCGAGAAGGUGUAGCAAUACACUUGUAAAGCGGCGAACGGGUGAGGAAUACAUGGGUAAUCUACCAUCGAGUGGGGAAUAACCAACCGAAAGGUUGGCUAAUACCGCGUACGCCUCCGAGUCUUCGGGUUCGGAGGGAAAGCUGCACUGUGAGUGUAGCGCUCUUUGAUGAGCUCAUGUCCUAUCAGCUUGUUGGUAGGGUAACGGCCUACCAAGGCUUUGACGGGUAGCUGGUCUGAGAGGACGAUCAGCCACACUGGCACUGCGACACGGGCCAGACUCCUACGGGAGGCAGCAGUAAGGAAUAUUGCGCAAUGGGCGAAAGCCUGACGCAGCGACGCCGCGUGGGGGAUGAAGGUCUUCGGAUUGUAAACCCCUUUCGGGAGGAAGAUGGAGCGAGCAAUCGUUCGGACGGUACCUCCAGAAGCAGCCACGGCCAACUUCGUGCCAGCAGCCGCGGU